rnacentral:rRNA from 1 species
AUUGAACGCUGGCGGCAGGCCUAACACAUGCAAGUCGAGCGGAUGAAGGGAGCUUGCUCCUGGAUUCAGCGGCGGACGGGUGAGUAAUGCCUAGGAAUCUGCCUGGUAGUGGGGGAUAACGUCCGGAAACGGGCGCUAAUACCGCAUACGUCCUGAGGGAGAAAGUGGGGGAUCUUCGGACCUCACGCUAUCAGAUGAGCCUAGGUCGGAUUAGCUAGUUGGUGGGGUAAAGGCCUACCAAGGCGACGAUCCGUAACUGGUCUGAGAGGAUGAUCAGUCACACUGGAACUGAGACACGGUCCAGACUCCUACGGGAGGCAGCAGUGGGGAAUAUUUGGACAAUGGGCGAAAGCCUGAUCCAGCCAUGCCGCGUGUGUGAAGAAGGUCUUCGGAUUGUAAAGCACUUUAAGUUGGGAGGAAGGGCAGUAAGUUAAUACCUUGCUGUUUUGACGUUACCAACAGAAUAAGCACCGGCUAACUUCGUG